ensembl:snRNA U2 U2 spliceosomal RNA
AUUACAUUUUUGCCUUUUGGCUAAGACCAAGUGUAGCAUCAGUUCAUAUCAGUUUAAUAUCCUAUUUGUCCUCUGUCUGAAGAUGAUUUAUUAAAUGUAUUUUUGGAGCAGGGAAAUGGAAUGGGAGUUGGCUUGUGGAAUGGAAUAGAAGCAUGCAUCGAUCUGAUAUUGCAGUACUUCCAGGAACGGUGUGCCCUCU